CCUACGGGGGGCUGCAGUGAGGAAUAUUCGGCAAUGGGGGGAACCCUGACCGAGCAACGCCGCGUGGAGGAUGACGGUUUUCGGAUUGUAAACUCCUUUUCUCAGGGAAGAGCGAGGACGGUACCUGGGGAAUAAGUCACGGCUAACUACGUGCCAGCAGCCGCGGUAAUACGUAGGUGGCAAGCGUUAUCCGGAAUUACUGGGCGUAAAGCGCACGCAGGUGGCUGCUUAAGUCUGACGUGAAAGCUCCUGGCUUAACUGGGAGAGGUCGUUGG
rnacentral:rRNA from 1 species